AGCAGAAGCUGAAGUGAAAGUAGAUGAAACUAAGUGGGAAAAGACCGCACGAGGCCAAGAGGGGGCAGUUGCGGGGCAAAUCCAGGAGACUCCCUCUCUCUUUCAGAGAAUGGGGUCGGGCAGAGGGCGUCAAACUGCUUCUGGGAAUGAAUGUGAUAAGAAGAAUCUGAGUGUCAGCACUUCCGGGAGGCUGAGGCAGGAGAAUGGCAAGUUCGAGCCCAGCUUGGGCAACUGGACGGCAGCGCACUGGGUCUCUGUGACUUUUGUCACUCCUGAGACCUCCCCCGAGCAUCAGUUUCCUUCCUGCAAUAUGGGGAUGGCGACGGCACCCUCCUCGUGGGGUCCCAGAGCGGUGGCCCAGUUCUAAAGCCCCAAGGCCCAAGCCCGGCACGGGGGACGCCCCCUCCCCAGAAGCCCCCGCGCUCACUCUCACCCCGUAAUUGCGACAGUGCUGACUGGGGGAGCCCUUCCCUGCAGGAGCCCGGGCCAGUGUUCGGAGGCCGGUGAUGAGUCGGCUGAGGCCGGUGUCCGAGUCGGAAUGACCCAGCCUGCGCUGUUGGGGUCUGGUAACCUGCUGCCUGGGAGGAAGCUCCGAACUUCUGAGGUUGGAGCAAAGUCCUCUGUCCCUCCUAGAGCCUCUGACCCUGGGGCUCAGACACUCAACAGGGGGUGGCCUCAGUGUCACCAUCGCGGGUCAGCUGGGCCCGAAGCUCCCAGGGCUGAGGGAGGGGACAGCCCUGGGGACGGGGAGGGAGGCCAGUGGGGUGGAAGCAGCCUUGGUUCACCUUGCCCUGGCGGCCAGGGGUAGGGUUAGGGCCCAUUUUCUAGACUGGAAAAAGCUGAGGUACCUAGUGCUGUGUAAGAAGCUGUCCCUGAGGGUAGACACCAAAUACAACAGCAUUUUAUUUAUUUACUUAUUUAUUUUUGUGGUACUGGGGGAUUGAGCCCAGGGCCUUUGCACUGAGGUAUAUCCCCAGCCUUUUUUAUGUUUUAUUUUGAGAUGGAGCCUCCAUGAGUUGCUAAGUUUCCCAGGCUGGAUGACUGGAAGUUGUGAUCCUCCUGCCACAGUCUCCCAGAGUGCUGGGAUCACAGAGCCACUGGGAUUCAAGAUGAGGAAACAUCCCACCUCUCCGAGGGAGACAUAUCUGUCACAUGCUAGGAGGAGAAGGUGACAUCCAGAUCUAGAGGGACCAUAGUUGGAAAACAAGAACUGCCACCAUGCCUUCAUCCACAGAGGUGAUGUGCAGGGUGUCUAGUUGGCAUGGUCUCGAUGUGUAGCCCAGGCUGGCCUUGAACUCCUGAUCCUCCUACCUCAACCUCCUGAGUGCUAGGAUUCCAGGUGUGUGUCACCACACACCCAGCUUAGAAUAUUUUUAUUGACACUACUAGAAGACAUCUGGCCUGGACUCAUCCUUCUGGAGAUGAAUUGACAGUUGGUCAAUGCCCAGCUUCUGAGGCUUGAAAACACUGAGCCCUUCUCCCUGCCCGGAGCUCUUGUGAAGAUGAGACUGUUUGGCCAAUGAUCUAAGCAGAAGGACAUUUACUGAAGUGAGCAUCACAAUUCUGCAGUGGUCAGAAGCACCCUAUGUGUUCAACAUGAGGGGACUGGACUGAAAUACUGCUCUGGAGCCAAUGAACCCUCUGCUUUAGGACACAGGAACCUUUGCUUUAGGACACCGAACCUACACAAAGUAUAAUAGUGACAGAGCAGGCAGUCAGGUGUGGUGGCACAUACCUAUAGUCCCAGCAGUCAGGAGGCUGAGGCAGGAAAAUUGCCUUGAGUUCAAGGGCAGCCUGGGCUGCAUAGCAAGACAUUGUCUCAAAACAAACAAAAAAAGUGGCAAAGGAGGAUUUGAACCUAUUCAUACCACAUAAGAUCAUUUGGGUUUUUUUGCAAUGCUGAGAUUGAACCCAGCAUCCUGUGUAUGCCAGACAAGUACUCAGCUGGUGAGCUGAGCCCUGGCCUAACUUGCACUUUUUUUUUUUUUUUUUUGUACCAGGGAUGGAACUCUGGACCUUGCGUUUGUGGGGCAGGUGGUGAAACCACUGAGCUAAAUCCCCAGCCCCUAGUGUGGUAUUUUGUUUGUUUGGUUUGGUUUUUUUGAGACAGGGUCUGGCUAUUUAGUCUAGGCUGGCCUUGAAUCCCUUUCAAAAGGGGUCUUUGAAAGGCCCCUUUGGAGGCCUUUGAAUGCCUCAGUUUCUCCAUCUGUGAAGUAGGGAUAGCAGUUGUGGGAACUUCUUGGGUGACUGGGAGCAUUCUAUGACAGAAAAUGUUCACAGUGAACAAUUCACACUAACUGGUAUUCAUGCCAAAGAACUGAGCUGGGCAUGGUAGCACAUGUCUGCAAUCCUAGCUCUUUGGAGGCUGAAGCAGGAGGACUGUGAGUCCUGCCUGAGACCCUGCCUCAAAAAUAAAAAAUAACAAAGGGCUGAGGACAGGAGCAACUCCUUUCCAGAGAUUGGUGCUGGGCUCCCAGCUCAUCAAAGGUGCAGGGAUGGGGGAGGAUGCCCUUGAAGUUUUAGAAAGUCACUUUGGGGCCCAUCAUGGGCCAUCGACAUACAUGCACUACCCCUGCCUUACAACCCCUCUGUUCCUGUAGAGAUGCCAGGCUGUUUCCUGCCGCAGACCCUUUGCACUUAACACUUACUGCUCUCUGCUGCAGGAGUGCUCUUCCCCAUUAUCUCCUCAGAGCUCCUUCUCCUUUAGGGUUUCUGGCUUCAUUGUCUUCCCUUAUUCCUACCUGACAUAGUCUUUGUUAAGUUUGUCAUCUGUCUCCCUCCAUGGAAGGGGGUCGCGUAAGAGCCGGGAUUUCAUCCAUCUCAUUCACUGUCGUGUCCCCUGGGCCUAAGACAGGCUUGGCCCACAGUAGGUGUGCAGUUGAUUCAGUUCUGUUACUGUUGCUAUUGUCAACACCACUUAGUCCCGACAGAGUCCUGCAUGUCAGGCAGUCUGCAGCUUGCCUCCCACACCUACGGGCACAGCCCUUAUCCAGGGAUUGCUCUGGACACAGCCUGGCUAGGAAAAGACCCGGCACAGGACAGUCUCCAGGUGGGUCACAGGGCUGGGUACUGUGGCAUAACUCAGGCCUGGCGUGGUGCCACACGCGUGUAGUCCCAGCACUCUGGAAGGCUGAAGCUGGAGGAUUGCAAGUUUGAGCCCAGCCGGGGCACCUCAGCAAUUUAGCAAAUCCUUGGAUGUAGCUUGGUUCGAAGGCACUGGGUUGGGUCCCCAGUCCCAAGAAGAAGAAAGGACUAAUUAAAUGUAACAAAAUAUUAGCAGUUGA